rnacentral:rRNA from 1 species
GAGUUUGAUCGUGGCUCAGAUUGAACGCUGGCGGCAUGCCUUACACAUGCAAGUCGAACGGCAGCACGGGAGCUUGCUCCUGGUGGCGAGUGGCGAACGGGUGAGUAAUGCAUCGGAACGUAUCCUGGAGUGGGGGAUAACGUAGCGAAAGUUACGCUAAUACCGCAUAUUCUGUGAGCGAGGAAAGCGGGGGACCUUCGGGCCUCGCGCUCUUGGAGCGGCCGAUGUCGGAUUAGCUAGGUUGGUGAGGUAAAGGCUCACCAAGGCGACGAUCCGUAGCAGGUCUGAGAGGAUGAUCUGCCACACUGGAACUGAGACACGGUCCAGACUCCUACGGGAGGCAGCAGUGGGGAUUUUGGACAAUGGGGGCAACCCUGAUCCAGCCAUGCCGCGUGAGUGAAGAAGGCC